ACCCAGUGAAGAAGCAGUCACACAUUCCACCUCCUGUUCUAGUCCCACAACCUAUAAAGGUGACCAGCUGGAGCUGGCUGGGGGAGGAUGCAAGUUUGUUUCAGAGGGACUGUCUGAUAGAU
rnacentral:snoRNA from 1 species